UACAGAGGGUGCGAGCGUUGUUCGGAAUUAUUGGGCGUAAAGCGCAUGUAGGCGGGAUGUUAAGUCGCGUGUGAAAGCCCCAGGCUCAACCUGGGAAGUGCGCGCGAAACUGGCAACCUUGAGUGCUGGAGAGGGUGGCGGAAUUCCCGGUGUAGAGGUGAAAUUCGUAGAUAUCGGGAGGAACACCAGAGGCGAAGGCGGCCACCUGGACAGACACUGACGCUGAGACGCGAAAGCGUGGGGAGCAAACAGGAUUAGAUACCCUGGUAGUCCACGCUGUAAACGAUGAGUGCUAGCUGUGGCGGGUAUUGACCCCUGCCGUGGCGACGCUAACGCAAUAAGCACUCCGCCUGGGAAGUACGGCCGCAAGGCUAAA
rnacentral:rRNA from 1 species